CUACCCCUUCGUGGAUAAUCGUUUUCUUAAUUCGACGUUUUAUUCGUGUCCAUUUUGAUUUCAGUCAGAAAAUUUCAUUAUAUCGAUAACAUGAUUGGGGCAGUCUUGUAUUAUAAUUUCGCAGGGAGAAUGGCUAAAUAGUUAUUUAGCCAUGGCAGGGAUAAUGAGAACAUGGAAGAAAUGAAAACGCGUCUUGUGUAAGGGUUAACCAGUUACCAGACACCAGUUAAGCGCCAUAAGCCAGCUGUUUAUAACCCUAGUUUAGAUUAUUUGUCAAGGACCAUCGUGUAUCCGGACGGUUGGUCACACUCCUAGUCUCCCGUUGAGGCUUCUGCGCAUCGCGAAUUCCCUUUUCUUUCUUUUGAGUUUUAUUGCUUUGCUGCGAACCUAACCGUUUCUUCUUACAGCGCAAGUGCGCAACAAAUACUACAAGUCUUUAAUCCGUUUUUGUCGUCCCCGGACCUCUGUCACUGUUUUGUAUUUGUUUUAUUUUUUUUAUUCUCCUAUCGUUUAUAACGCUUGAUUGAGUUUCGAAAACCGUGUAUCCAAAAGUAUCUAAUGGAUGACGGAUCAAUACGACGGAUUAAUACUUCGGAUCACGUUUUCACAUUUUACGUUUAAUCCACAGGUUUUUAUCCACUUCGAUCCGAUCAUUUGACUGUUGUGGUUUCCGUUUAACUUGUUACAAUAUUUCGUGAGUAUUUAAUGUAUUUAUUCUUUCGUCACUUUUGACAUUUACCAUGUGCUGUAUUUUCAUUAUUCGAUAACUAUUUCACACUCGAAAAUGCCGAUCUUUGUUAAAUCGAAUUUCUACUGACCGCAAUAUUUGACUGGUGCCAAACGUUUUAUAAUAUACAAUAUACAUACAUUAUUAAGAGGCCAUUCGCGUUUACCAAACACGUGACGAACGAAUACGACCCCAUCGGCGUGUGUGUUUAAUUAAUUUUUUUGCGAUUCAUACUAUUAAUUAUAAACGCGUGUUGAAGUAAUAUCAAACCUGAACAAAACACACGACGUUGGAACGGUUCAAACGAGAUGGAUCUAUGAAUUUUCAGCUACGAGCAAAACGCCGUAAUGUGCGAGCAAUGUAUUUCUAUUGAAUUUAGAAGAGAUGAAGAUGAAGCGUUGUGCAUGCAGAGCUACUACCUGACAUUUAAAUCCGCGCCCUACCGUAUCCAUUGCUGUCAUACGAUGAACUGUAAGUAAUAAUCAGAUAUUAUAUCGUUAAGUGAACAUAUACCUAGGGCUUUCAUAAUUAUAAGAAUUUUUCUAAACCAUCCUAUUGACCAGCAGGGCUUUUUAGGUUAUUAACAUUAUGUAAUGACAUUAUGACCAUAAAACUACUAAUGAAGUACUGUUAGCUAUCGGUAUUUUUUUUAACAAUUAAAAGGUUAUAUACUCGUAAAAAAUAGUAUUCUGGUCGUUGGGGCCAGCGUGUAAAAAAAAAAACAAUAACAUAAUAUGUAGUUGCUUCUCCCACGCCAGUGGUCCGUUGAUCGGUCUUCGUAGGGGCAGUGGCGUACUUAACUCGUAGACAUUAUUCAGAACGUUAACGUUAUGUAUGAUUUUACGUCGGCAUCGUGUAUUGCGCUUGUUCAUCAUCGCAUCGGUGCGUAGUGGAGGCCAGAGGAUUGAAUUCUCGCUCCACUGUCGCCACCACCAGUCGGUGGUAGUGUGUUUCAACUUACACGAUGUGGGCGUGCUCUGUGCGUGCCGUGUAUUGAUACGAUAUUAUGAUAUGUUUAAUUAUAUGUAUUAUGUAUCGUAUGCAGCUGCAAUGAUGGAAAUAUGAAAUGUAACAUUUAAUAGGUAACGAAAUUGAUUGAUCGUUGUCGUCGUCGACGAAGCCAAAAGGUGGCUGAUAUAAUAAAAUAAUAUAAUAACAGUAUAAACUUCUAUAAACUUCCAUUAACUAAUUGAUAGCGUAAAUAUUAUACUACUGCCGUGGUGUAUGUGAUUUGCCCAUUUCUUUUCCACUACCCGUCUAUCUACCUAACUACCUGUAUACUCUCUCUGCUCCGUGGUAAACCCGGAAUAUUGUUAUUAUAAUUUCUACUAAUAGUGACACUCCAUCAGAUAACACUGUUGACGUGUGUCAUAGUAAUGAAACCAUCGCAGCACAGCUAGUUAUCCUAGUCGCAGUGUUUGUUACCUGGACGAUUUAAAUUGAUCAAGAAUCCAGUUAUUAUGAUAUCACGCCUUAGAUGGAUCAUUUUAAACUAUAUAUAAUUCUCAGGUAAUUCUCUGACCCUCUUAUACAUAAAAACUGAUUAAUAGUUAAGUAAUAAUUCAAUGAAAAAUAAUACAUACAUAUAUACAUAUAUAUAUAUACUCGUAUCUAUUAUUAAAAAAAGCAAUAAUUUUAAAUUGCGUAAUAUUGUACUAAAUUGAAGUGAACCCUUAACCAUAGGCGUAACUAGGGGGAGACUGGGGGGGGAGGCUUAGCCCGUCCAAUAUUAAUUUUAGCCCCCCCUGUCAAAA